rfam:Daphnia pulex DAPPTscaffold_431_Cont9533, whole genome shotgun sequence.
GGGGUUGUAACUCAGUGGUAGAGUGUUCGCUUUGCAAGCGAAAAGCCCGGAGUUCAAUCCUCCGCAACUCCA